rnacentral:rRNA from 1 species
GCAGCCGCGGUAAUACGUAGGUGGCAAGCGUUGUCCGGAUUUACUGGGUGUAAAGGGCGUGUAGGCGGGAUUACAAGUCAGAUGUGAAAUACCGAGGCUCAACCUCGGCACUGCAUUUGAAACUGUAGUUCUUGAGUAUCGGAGAGGCAGGCGGAAUUCCUAGUGUAGCGGUGAAAUGCGUAGAUAUUAGGAGGAACACCAGUGGCGAAGGCGGCCUGCUGGACGACAACUGACGCUGAGGCGCGAAAGCGUGGGGAGCAAACAGGAUUAGAUACCCC